rnacentral:tRNA from 1 species
UCCUCCGUGGCGCAAUUGGCUAGCGCGUUCGGCUGUUAACCGGAAGGUUGACAGUUCAAGCCUGUCCGGGGGAG